rnacentral:rRNA from 1 species
GACGUAGGGUGCAAGCGUUGUCCGGAUUUAUUGGGCGUAAAGAGCUCGUAGGCGGCUUGUUGCGUCGACUGUGAAAACCCGCGGCUUAACCGCGGGCUUGCAGUUGAUACGGGCAGGCUAGAGUUCGGUAGGGGGAGACUGGAAUUCCUGGUGUAGCGGUGAAAUGCGCAGAUAUCAGGAGGAACACCGGUGGCGAAGGCGGGUCUCUGGGCCGAUACUGACGCUGAGGAGCGAAAGCGUGGGGGAGCGAACAGG